rnacentral:rRNA from 1 species
CCUACGGGAGGCAGCAGUGGGGAAUAUUGGGCAAUGGAGGAAACUCUGACCCAGCGACGCCGCGUGCGGGAUGAAGGCCUUCGGGUUGUAAACCGCUUUCAGCAGGGAAGAAGCGAAAGUGACGGUACCUGCAGAAGAAGCACCGGCUAACUAUGUGCCAGCAGCCGCGGUAAUACAUAGGGUGCAAGCGUUGUCCGGAAUUAUUGGGCGUAAAGAGCUCGUAGGUGGUUCGUCACGUCGGAUGUGAAAAUCUGGGGCUUAACCCCAGACCUGCAUUCGAUACGGGCGAGCUUGAGUAUGGUAGGGGAGUCUGGAAUUCCUGGUGUAGCGGUGGAAUGCGCAGAUAUCUGGAGGAACACCAAUGGCGAAGGCAGGACUCUGGGCCAUUACUGACACUGAGGAGCGAAAGCGUGGGGAGCGAACAGGAUUAGAUACCCUGGUAGUCCACGCCGUAAACGGUGGGCACUAGUUGUGGGGACCUUCCACGGUCUCUGCGACGCGNGCACGCUAUAGUCCGCCCGCGUGGGAGGACGAGCGCGAGAAGUUAAACGUAACGAAAGUUAAGUUAGUACGCGUUGAGCGCGCGACGGACGACGACGGAGGGAGGAGG